rnacentral:lncRNA from 1 species
AUCCGGCAGCACCUCCCUUGAUAGAAGCAUAACAGGGGGAAAACAUAGAGUUCAUACAUGAUAUAAAAGAGAUAAUUCACGUAGUAGAAUCUAAAAGCAAAAGUGGUGAAACACAUUCAUGACCAAAUAAAAGGAUAGGUAACUCAGCCCACCCCAAAAACAGCUCAACCACCAUGAAAAGCUAGAACAUAUCAAUUCCCUAGACUUGACCCUCCCUGAUUAACAACAUUAUUAAGCAGUGGUUCCUUUAUUAAAGGUGUAGUGGUCGUGCUACUACAUCCCUCUUUUCCCAAAGCAGAAAUCAGGUGCCUGCAUUAAACAAUGCAAGAGUGAGAUGACACAUCUCAGCAAGUAAACAUAGCAAACCACAAUUGGACAAUGUAAACCAACUGUGCUUAAACAACCACGUAGUUCAAAACUUCUUUCUUGAAUAGUAAUUUGCAGCAAGUAAGAAAGUAACUAAUUACUUAACGCCAAGAAGAAUCACAAUGUAAAAAUCCACACUAUUCACAUCCACAUAAUAAAUUCCACACCUCUCCCAUGAAUGCACAUGGCUACAGAUGCAGUAAUGACUUCUGCCUUCAUAUCUCUGAGGAUAUGAAGCUGCAUCAUACCCCUUCUCGGGCAACAUAUGAUGCUCAAUGUACCAGUACGGUCGGACCAUAAGAUCACGAUGAACUUCCAUGCAGUGAAUAAUGAAUGCAUUAUGCAUGACAACAACAUGAGUUCUUCCCAAAUAAAAUGUGCUAGACAUAUACUUCCACCCAUUCCACAUAAUAACCACUUGAGUAACAUGGUCAAACCACAAACUCAACAUAUGUAAUCAAUAAAACACGAAUAUCUUCAAAUGAUGGUACUCAAUUAAAAAUAUGAAUACGAACACAAUAGCACAACAUAAUCAAGUAUAAGACUCUUCAUUCGACAGACGGAAUAACCAUCACUGUUUUACUUGCCUUCAUCAGAAGUUUGGGCAAAUCCCUAAGUACGAUCUGGAAGUCCACCACCUGUUUUUGAUACCCAACUUAGUGCACCAAAUUCACAUAAUAAGCCUAAAAACAAUGCCGCACCUACGUGCAGUCUCAAACCCCGCCGCGGGUAACAAUUCUCCCCACACCCACCAAACUGCAGCGGCGCUGCUUAACAAUUCCAUAACUUUAAAAUUAAGGCAGCAGUGAUGACAAACAAAAACUCCAGAGACAACUACAUAAAAUUCCCCAUAAGUUUUGUAUACAAUUUAUGAUUAAAUUCCAACAUCUAACUACCCCAAAACGGUCCACAAGAUAAACCCUGUAAUCUAUUUUUUUCUCUUUUAGGCAGCGACAUACUCGGAUUCAAACAGCGAUAACAUUUAAAAUAUAAUUCCGAAUCAAGCGCAUAAGUACUUGUUGGAAAGGUAAGAAAAAGACCUACAUGAUUCUCAUACUGAUUAACACUAAUUACUCACGAAAAAUCCCCAGAAACUGAUAAUACUGCUGCUGUUCGUCCACCUGAAAAUCUGUUUUUUGGACAGCCACAUACCCGGAUCCAAACGGUGAUACCUUUUAAUUUAUAACUCCAAAUUGAGCGCAUAAAUACUCGUUGGAAAGGUAUGCCAAAGUUCUACAUGAUUCCCAAACUGAUUCCCAUUAAUUUCCCACGAAAAAUGCCCAGAAACCACUAAUACUGCUGCUGUUCGUCCACCUGAAUAUCUGUUUUUUUGGACAGCCACAUACCCGGAUUCAAACGGUGAUAUCUUUUAAUUUAUAACUCCAAAUUGAGCGCAUAAAUACUCGUUGGAAAGGUAUACCAAAGUUCUACAUUAUUCCUAAACUGAGUCCCAUUAAUUUCCCACGAAAAAUGCCCAGAAACCACUAAUACUGCUGCUGUUCGUCCACCCCCUAAAAUUCUGGACAGCCCUUCUACCAAAUCGCAUACGCAACAUCUAAUCAAUUGGAUUGCAGCACAAAUGAACAAGAGAUCAACACAAAAAUCACCUUGAAUUCUCCCCCUUUCCUUCCUCCACCGAAAACAAUUGAAGAUUUGCACCACGCGACGUAGAUCCGAGCGGCAAGGAAUGGCACCUUGGGAGGAGGAGAUGGGGGGGCUAGGGUUAGGUGGUGUGGCUGCAAGGGUUUGAGGGAGGAGGAGAUGGGAGGGGGGCG